CGAACGCUGGCGGCAGGCUUAACACAUGCAAGUCGAACGGGCGUAGCAAUACGUCAGUGGCAGACGGGUGAGUAACACGUGGGAACGUACCUUUGGUUCGGAACAACUGAGGGAAACUUCAGCUAAUACCGGAUAAGCCCUUACGGGGAAAGAUUUAUCGCCGAAAGAUCGGCCCGCGUCUGAUUAGCUAGUUGGUGGGGUAAGAGCCCACCAAGGCGACGAUCAGUAGCUGGUCUGAGAGGAUGAUCAGCCACAUUGGGACUGAGACACGGCCCAAACUCCUACGGGAGGCAGCAGUGGGGAAUAUUGGACAAUGGGCGAAAGCCUGAUCCAGCCAUGCCGCGUGAGUGAUGAAGGCCCUAGGGUUGUAAAGCUCUUUUAACGGGGAAGAUAAUGACGGUACCCGUAGAAUAAGCCCCGGCUAACUUCGUG
rnacentral:rRNA from 1 species